rnacentral:rRNA from 1 species
UACGUAGGCAGCGAGCGUUGUUCGGAGUUACUGGGCGUAAAGAGUGCGUAGGCGGUGGCCCAAGUCUGGUGUGAAAUCUCCCGGCUCAACCGGGAGGGUGCGCCGGAAACUGGGUUGCUUGAGUACUGAAGAGGGUCGCGGAAUUCCCGGUGUAGAGGUGAAAUUCGUAGAUAUCGGGAGGAACACCAGUGGCGAAGGCGGCGACCUGGGCAGAUACUGACGCUGAGGUGCGAAAGCGUGGGGAGCAAACAGG